rnacentral:rRNA from 1 species
GAACAAACGCUGGCGGCGUGCCUAACACAUGCAAGUCAAACGGUUUUGUAGCAAUACAGAGCAGUGGCGCACGGGUGAGUAAUGCAUGGGAAUUCUCCAAGUGGAGAGGGAUACCUACGGGAAACUGUAGUUAAUACUUCGUAAGCAGGGUUCGCAAGGAUCCUGGAAACAUGGGGACUAAAGCGAUUUAGCCUAUGGCCAUUUGAUAAGCUCAUGUCCCAUUAGCUAGUUGGUGAGGUAACGGCCCACCAAGGCGAGGAUGGGUAGCUGGUCUGAGAGGACGAUCAGCCACACUGGAACUGAGACACGGUCCAGACUCCUACGGGAGGCAGCAGUGGGGAAUAUUGCGCAAUGGACGAAAGUCUGACGCAGCAACGCCGCGUGAGUGAAGAAGGCCUUCGGGUUGUAAAGCUCUUUCGGUUGGGAAGAAGGGUGUAAAAGUGAAUAAUUUUUGCAUUUGAUGGUACCAAAAGAAGAAGCACCGGCAAACUUCGUGCCAGCAGCCGCGGUAAUACGAAGGGUGCAAGCGUUGUUCGGAAUUAUUGGGCGUAAAGGGUUCGUAGGCGGGAUUGUAAGUCAAGUGUGAAAUCCCCGAGCUUAACUCGGGACGUGCAUUUGAAACUGUGAUUCUUGAGUCAUUGAGAGGGUGGUGGAAUUGUUGGUGUAGGAGUGACAUCCGUAGAGAUCAACAGGAACAUCAGAGGCGAAAGCGGCCACCUGGCAAUGUACUGACGCUGAGGAACGAAAGCGUGGGGAGCAAACAGGAUUAGAUACCCUGGUAGUCCACGCCAUAAACGAUGAUAACUAGGUGUUGGGGGAGUUGACCCCCUCAGUACCGUAGCUCACGCGCUAAGUUAUCCGCCUGGGGAGUGCGGCCGCAAGGCUAA